rnacentral:rRNA from 1 species
GACGUAGGGCGCGAGCGUUGUCUGGAUUUAUUGGGCGUAAAGAGCUCGUAGGCGGCUUGUCGCGUCGACUGUGAAAACCCGUGGCUCAACCAUGUGGUCUGCAGUCGAUACGGGCAGGCUAGAAUUCGGUAGGGGAGACUGGAAUUCCUGGUGUAGCGGUGAAAUGCGCAGAUAUCAGGAGGAACACCGGUGGCGAAGGCGGGUCUCUGGGCCGAUAUUGACGCUGAGGAGCGAAAGCGUGGGGAGCGAACAGG